rnacentral:rRNA from 1 species
GACGAACGCUGGCGGCGUGCCUAAUACAUGCAAGUCGAACGCACUUUCGUUAGAUUGAAGAAGCUUGCUUCUGAUUGAUAACAUUUGAGUGAGUGGCGGACGGGUGAGUAACACGUGGGUAACCUGCCCUAAAGUGGGGGAUAACAUUUGGAAACAGAUGCUAAUACCGCAUAAAACCUAGCACCGCAUGGUGCAAGGUUGAAAGAUGGUUUCGGCUAUCACUUUAGGAUGGACCCGCGGUGCAUUAGUUAGUUGGUGAGGUAAAGGCUCACCAAGACCGUGAUGCAUAGCCGACCUGAGAGGGUAAUCGGCCACACUGGGACUGAGACACGGCCCAGACUCCUACGGGAGGCAGCAGUAGGGAAUCUUCCACAAUGGACGAAAGUCUGAUGGAGCAACGCCGCGUGAGUGAAGAAGGUUUUCGGAUCGUAAAACUCUGUUGUUGGAGAAGAACGUAUUUGAUAGUAACUGAUCAGUAGUGACGGUAU